UACGUAGGUGGCGAGCGUUGUUCGGAUUUAUUGGGCGUAAAGGGUCCGCAGGGGGCCCGUUAAGUUAGAUGUGAAAUCCCGGGGCUCAACCCCGGAACUGCAUUUAAAACUGGCGGGCUAGAGUGCUGGAGAGGUAAAUGGAAUUCCAGGUGUAGCGGUGGAAUGCGUAGAUAUCUGGAAGAACACCGAGAGCGAAGGCAGUUUACUGGACAGCAACUGACCCUCAGGGACGAAAGCGUGGGGAG
rnacentral:rRNA from 1 species